rnacentral:rRNA from 1 species
UACAGAGGUCUCAAGCGUUUGUUCGGAUUCAUUGGGCGUAAAGGGUGCGUAGGUGGCGCCGUAAGUCGGGUGUGAAAUUUCGGAGCUUAACUCCGAAACUGCAUUCGAUACUGCGGUGCUUUGAGGACUGGAGAGGAGACUGGAAUUCAUGGUGUAGCAGUGAAAUGCGUAGAGAUCAAUGAGGAAGACCAGUGGCGAAGGCGGGUCUCUGGACAGUUCCUGACACUGAGGCACGAAGGCCAGGGGAGCAAACGGG